GAUGAACGCUGGCGGCGUGCCUAAUACAUGCAAGUCGAGCGAACAGAUAAGGAGCUUGCUCCUUUGACGUUAGCGGCGGACGGGUGAGUAACACGUGGGUAACCUACCUAUAAGACUGGAAUAACUCCGGGAAACCGGGGCUAAUGCCGGAUAACAUUUAGAACCGCAUGGUUCUAAAGUGAAAGAUGGUUUUGCUAUCACUUAUAGAUGGACCCGCGCCGUAUUAGCUAGUUGGUAAGGUAACGGCUUACCAAGGCAACGAUACGUAGCCGACCUGAGAGGGUGAUCGGCCACACUGGAACUGAGACACGGUCCAGACUCCUACGGGAGGCAGCAGUAGGGAAUCUUCCGCAAUGGGCGAAAGCCUGACGGAGCAACGCCGCGUGAGUGAUGAAGGGCUGCGGAUCGUAAAACGCUGUUAUUAGGGAAGAACAAAUGUGUAAGUAACUGUGCACGUCUUGACGGUACCUAAGCAGAAAGCCACGGCUAACUACGU
rnacentral:rRNA from 1 species